rnacentral:tRNA from 1 species
UUAAUUGAAGCCAAAAUAGAGGCAAAUUAUUGUUAAUAAUUAAAUUGAAUACUUAUUUCCAAUUAAA